CCUACGGGAGGCAGCAGUGAGGAAUAUUGGUCAAUGGGCGGAAGCCUGAACCAGCCAAGUAGCGUGCAGGAUGACGGCCCUACGGGUUGUAAACUGCUUUUAUACGGGAAUAACGCGCCUUACGUGUAGGGCUUUGCAUGUACCGCAUGACUAAGGACCGGCUAAUUCCGUGCCAGCAGCCGCGGUAAUACGGCAGGUCCGGGCGUUAUCCGGAUUUUUUGGGUUUAAAGGGAGCGUAGGCCGCAUGUCAAGCGUGCUGUGAAAUGUUCGGGCUCAACCCGGGCCGUGCAGCGCGAACUGGCGUGCUUGAGUCCGCGGAAAGCAGGCGGAAGUCGUCGUGUAGCGGUGAAAUGCUUAGAUAUGACGAAGAACCCCGAUUGCGAAGGCAGCUUGCUGCAGCGGAACUGACGCUGAUGCUCGAAGGCGCGGGUAUCGAACAGGAUUAGAUACCCCAGUAGUC
rnacentral:rRNA from 1 species